rnacentral:rRNA from 1 species
GACGAACGCUGGCGGCGUGCCUAAUACAUGCAAGUAGAACGCUGAAGAGAGGAGCUUGCUCUUCUUGGAUGAGUUGCGAACGGGUGAGUAACGCGUAGGUAACCUGCCUUGUAGCGGGGGAUAACUAUUGGAAACGAUAGCUAAUACCGCAUAACAAUAGGUGACACAUGUCAUUUAUUUGAAAGGGGCAAUUGCUCCACUACAAGAUGGACCUGCGUUGUAUUAGCUAGUAGGUGAGGUAACGGCUCGCCUAGGCGACGAUACAUAGCCGACCUGAGAGGGUGAUCGGCCCAACUGGGACUGAGACACGGCCCAGACUCCUACGGGAGGCAGCAGUAGGGAAUCUUCGGCAAUGGGGGCAACCCUGACCGAGCAACGCCGCGUGAGUGAAGAAGGGUUUCGGAUCGUAAAGCUCUGUUGUAAGUCAAGAACGAGUGUGAGAGUGGAAAGUUCACACUGUGACGGUAGCUUACCAGAAAGGGACGGCUAACUACGUG